GGCUCUUCCUGAGCAGUGUGCAGGCAAAUAGGACACCGGAGGGGUGGGGACCAUCACGGCUGUGCUGCUGCUCCCUCCUUGUGUCCCACAUGGCCUCUGGGUCGGGUCUCCCCCAUCCCCUUCACGCCUCCCUGUAGCUCAGUAAAGCAGCUUCUCUGUGUGAUGGUUCGUUGGAUCUCCCCGCUCAGCCCGUCUGUAACAGCACAGGCAGCUCUGCAUCCUCUCCCCAGGGUGCUGCACAGGUAGAAACAAAACAGGACGUGCACUUCCCCUGAGGAGUUUUAUUUAUUGUUUUGAGAAGCAAUUUAAAAGGAAAAAAAAAAUAAACUGUGUAUCUAUUAUAUAUAUAUAUAUAUAUUUUUAACCUCUUUUUUUUUUUUUUUUCCUGAUGCUCCUCCACCCGUGUGUGUGUGCGUGUGUGCGUGUGUGUGAGCGAGUCAAGGGAUUCUGAGUGGGGACCACAGCGUCCCCUUCCCCCUGUCCAGCUCUCCGGGGGGGGCGAUGCAGCAGAAGCCCAGAGGCAGCAGUGGGAGGGGAGGGAGGAUUUAUACCGAGAGCUUGUGACGUUUUAACCGUGAUUUUUGGAGUAAUUCCAUCUUUCUCUGGAGUAUUUGCACCCUUGGGGGUCUGGCCUGACCGAGAACCUCCCGCACCCCGGGGACGCCGUUGCCCCGCCCCGUCCCCAUCCUCUCCUGUCCCUGCUCCCUUGACAAUCAGUGGCUCCUUCCCAGGGACUGCAGCACGUGGUUGAGACGUCUGUUUCGUUUUUUCAAUAUUCCUUUUUUGUGCUGUAUGGUGAUGCGUUAUUGUAUAUUCCACAAUAAGAAAAAAAAUAUAUAAAAAAAAAUGAUGAUAAUAAUAAUAAUUACCAUGAGAAAUUCUUAUGAGUUUUGUUUGGAAACUCUUUCACUAUAUUUGUUGUAAAGAGGUUUACUAUUAAAAAGAAAAAAAAAUACACGUUUCUGAUAAUUU